AUUGAACGCUGGCGGCAGGCCUAACACAUGCAAGUCGAGCGGAGCGGCAGACGGGUGAGUAAUGCCUAGGUAUCUGCCUGGUAGUGGGGGAUAACGUCCGCAAACGGGCGCUAAUACUGCAUACUAUCACAAUAGGCUAGGUCGGAUUAGCUAGUUGGUGGGGUAAAGGCCUACCAAGGCGACGAUCCGGAACUGGUCUGAGAGGAUGAUCAGGCACACUGGAACUGAGACACGGUCCAGACUCCUACGGGAGGCAGCAGUGGGGAAUAUUGGACAAUGGGCGAAAGCCUGAUCCAGCCAUGCCGCGUGUAUGAAGAAGGUCUUCGGAUUGUAAAGCACUUUAAGUUGGGAGGCGUUACCAGCAGAAGAAGCACCGGCUAACUUCGUGCCAGCAGCCGCGGUAAUUC
rnacentral:rRNA from 1 species